AUUGAACGCUGGCGGCAGGCUUAACACAUGCAAGUCGAACGAGUGGCGGACGGGUGAGUAAUGCUUGGGAAUCUAGCUUAUGGAGGGGGAUAACUACGGGAAACUGUAGCUAAUACCGCGUACCAUAGGCUGAGCCCAAGUGGGAUUAGGUAGUUGGUGAGGUAAAGGAUCACCAAGCCGACGAUCUCUAGCUGGUCUGAGAGGAUGACCGGCCACACUGGGACUGAGACACGGACCAGACUCCUACGGGAGGAAGCAGGGGGGAAUAGUGCGCAAUGGGGGCAACCCUGAUGCAGCCAUGCCGCGUGUAGGAAGAAGGACUUAGGGUUGUAAAGUACUGUCAGCGGGGAGGCGUUACCCGCAGAAGAAGCACCGGCUAACUCCGUGCCAGCAGCCGCGGUAAUAC
rnacentral:rRNA from 1 species